AAAAACAUCGCUCCCAGAAAAUUAUUGAGGAGUCUUGCCUGSCCGGUGAUAAAUAUUUAACGGCUGCAGUAUUUUGACUGUACAAAGGUAGCAUAAUCAUUUGCCUAUUAAUUGUAGGCUGGAAUCAACGGCUUGACGAAGAGAAGACUGUCUUUCUUUAUAAAAAUUGAAUUUAGUAUUUUGGUGAAGAAACCAAAAUAAUAAAAUGGGACGAGAAGACCCUAUUGAGCUUUAGCUUUAUUCUAUUAUAUUAAUAUCUAUAAAGUUUUGGUUGGGGCAACUAAUCUUAUAAUAAGACAAGGUUAAUUAGUAAAAGAGUUGAAUCUAAAUUGACCCAUAAGUUUAUGGUAAUAAGAAAAAGUUACCAUAGGGAUAACAGCGUAAUUUUCUUUGAGAGUACAUAUUGACAAGAAAGUUUGCGACCUCGAUGUUGGAUCAAGAUAUCCUGGAGGUGUAGCCGCUYCCAAGGGUGGGUUUGUUCAACCUAUAAAAUCUUACGUGAUCUGA
rnacentral:rRNA from 1 species